CAAUAAGCAAAAUAAGGGCGUAUGGGGGAUGCCUAGGCUCUCAGAGGCGAUGAAGGACGUGAUAAGCUGCGAAAAGCUGCGGGGAUUGGCACAUACGAAUUGAUCCGCAGAUAUCCGAAUGGGGCAACCCACUAUAUUGAAGAUAUAGUACCCGAUAGGGGGCAAACCCGCUGAACUGAAACAUCUAAGUAGGCGGAGGAGAAGAAAACAAAAGUGAUUCCGUAAGUAGUGGCGAGCGAACGCGGAUUAGCCCAAACCAAUGUUGUUACGGCAAUGUUGGGGUUGUAGGACCACGACAUUUCUUGCGGAUUGAAUUAGAAUAACCUGGAAAGGUUAACCAUAGAGGGUGAUAGUCCCGUAUAAGUAAGAGAAGAUAAGGAUAGUGGUAUCCUGAGUAGGGCGGGGCACGUGAAACCCUGUCUGAAUCUGGCGGGACCAUCCGCUAAGGCUAAAUACUCCUGAGAGACCGAUAGUGAACCAGUACUGUGAAGGAAAGGUGAAAAGAACCGUGAAUAACGGAGUGAAAUAGAUCCUGAAACCAUACGCUUACAAGCGGUCGGAGCCCUUUCGUGGGGUGACGGCGUGCCUUUUGCAUAAUGAGCCUACGAGUUACCGUUGCUGGCAAGGAUAAGCACUUCAGGUGUGGAUCCGUAGCGAAAGCGAGUCUGAAUAGGGCGCUUUAGUCAGUAGUGGUAGACGCGAAACCGUGUGAUCUACCCAUGGGCAGGAUGAAGCUGUGGUAACACACAGUGGAGGUCCGAACCGGUUGACGUUGAAAAGUCUUCGGAUGACCUGUGGGUAGGGGUGAAAGGCCAAUCAAACUCGGAAAUAGCUCGUACUCCCCGAAAUGCAUUUAGGUGCAGCGCUGUGUAUAGUUAUAUAGAGGUAGAGCUACUGAUUGGAUGCGGGGGCUUCACCGCCUACCAAUUCCUGACAAACUCCGAAUGCUAUAUAAUGUUUCUCAGCAGUGAGGGCAUGGGUGCUAAGGUCCAUGUCCGAGAGGGAAAGAACCCAGACCAUCAGCUAAGGUCCCCAAAUGUAUGCUAAGUUGAAAAAACGAGGUUUGUCUGCCCAGACAGCUAGGAUGUUGGCUUGGAAGCAGCCAUUCAUUUAAAGAGUGCGUAACAGCUCACUAGUCGAGCGGACGAGCAUGGAUAAUAAUCGGGCAUAAGUAUACUACCGAAGCUAUGGAUUUACGUUUUACGUAAGUGGUAGGGGAGCAUUCUAACAGGGCUGAAGGUGUGAGGCGACUCAUGCUGGACCGGUUAGAAAAGAAAAUGUAGGCAUAAGUAACGAUAAUGCGGGCGAGAAACCCGCACACCGAAAGACUAAGGUUUCCUCAGCUAUGCUAAUCAGCUGAGGGUUAGUCGGGUCCUAAGGCGAACCCGAAAGGGACAGUCGAUGGCCAACGGGUUAAUAUUCCCGUACUACUUAUAAUUGUGAUGGGGUGACGGAGUGAUGAAAGCACCGCGAACUGACGGAAUAGUUCGUUAAAGUACUUAGCUAUAGGUCCCGUAGUAAAAUGCGCGGGAACUGGUGAAAUACGAUAGUACACGGAGUCUUCGGACAAAGUGAUAGUGUGCCUAAGGGCUUCCAAGAAAAACCUCUAAACUUAGAUUAUAAGUACCCGUACCGUAAACCGACACAGGUAGUCGAGGAGAGAAUCCUAAGGUGCUCGAGAGAUUCAUGGCUAAGGAAUUAGGCAAAAUAGACCUGUAACUUCGGGAGAAAGGUCGCCAGCGCAAGCUGGCCGCAGUGAAGAGGUCCAGGCGACUGUUUAUCAAAAACACAGGGCUCUGCAAAAUCGUAAGAUGAAGUAUAGGGCCUGACACCUGCCCGGUGCUGGAAGGUUAAGAGGAGAUGUUAUCUUCGGAGAAGCAUUGAAUUGAAGCCCCAGUAAACGGCGGCCGUAACUAUAACGGUCCUAAGGUAGCGAAAUUCCUUGUCGGGUAAGUUCCGACCUGCACGAAUGGUGUAACGAUCUGGACACUGUCUCAGCCAUGAGCUCGGUGAAAUUGUAGUAUCGGUGAAGAUGCCGAUUACCCGCAGUGGGACGAAAAGACCCUGUGCACCUUUACUAUAGCUUAGUAUUGGUCUUGGAUAAGUGAUGUGUAGGAUAGGUGGGAGACUGUGAAAUGGCGUCGCCAGGCGUUGUGGAGUCAUUGUUGAAAUACCACCCUUUGCUUAUCUGAGAUCUAACCCCGCAAAGC
rnacentral:ncRNA from 1 species